UACGGAGGGGGCUAGCGUUGUUCGGAUAUACUGGGCGUAAAGCGCACGUAGGCGGCGCAGCAAGUCAGGGGGUGAAAUCCCGGAGCUCAACUCCGGAACUGCCUUCGAUACUGGCGAUCUUGAGUCUGGGAGAGGUGAGUGGAACUCCGAGUGUAGAGGUGAAAAUUCGUAGAUAUUCGGAAGAACACCAGUGGCGAAGGCGGCUCACUGGCCCGGUACUGACGCUGAGGUGCGAAAGCGUGGGGAGCAAACAGG
rnacentral:rRNA from 1 species